CCUCUGCUGGGCCAAGUUCCAAAAAUGUAGAGACAGACCCUCUAACCUGCUGUGGUGGAGUUUAAAGACUGACCCUCUAUGCUGUGAGAAAGGGGAAGUCCAGAGCUGGACACUGACAGACUGGAUCUUCACCAGUAGGACUGAAGAGGAGCCAGACUCACUACACCUCUGCCUCAAAACCUCUGCCUCAAAACCUCUGCCUCAAAACCUCUGCCUCAGACUGAAGCUAAAGACAGAGGCUCUGAAGCUCCCACACUGCACACUCUAUAAGAACAACCAUCCGUCUAAUUGUACUGUGGUGGUAAACACAAGUUAAGUUUGAGUUUGAACAGUAUGGUAUGGCUACACUCUGUCUCAUCUGUCCAGGCUUUUACUCAUAUAGCUUAUAUUUGUUUUUUGCCAAAAACUUUGCUUAACUUGAACUAUUUUUAGUAAAAACUGUAAAUUGUCAUUUUCAUAUUAAGAAUGAAGCAUUGGUUAACUCAAAGGGUAUAUAUAAGUCCUAUAACAUUAAUAAUGAUUAUUCAUGUCCUAAGAUUUCUAAUUAAUGAUUUAAAUAAAUAUUGUUUACAAUGUAA